AACCAUAGAAACCUGCGGAGUACCUGCGGAAGGAUCAUUAUCGAGUAAGGGUCUUAAAAUGGCCCGAACCUCCCUCCCCCUUGUUAAUCAAAUCAAUUUGUUGCUUUGGCGGGCCGUGAUCAAUUUUUUUUCUAAAUGACCACCGCUAAACUUUUUUGCGAGUGCUCGCCAAAAGCCCACCUAGACUCGUUUUACAAAAAAUGAAGUCUGAUUUUAAAAUUGAAUUAUUGAAAAAACUUU
rnacentral:misc_RNA from 1 species